rnacentral:rRNA from 1 species
GACGAGCUCUCCAAACGUUAUUCGGUAUCACUGGGCUUAAAGAGUUCGUAGGCGGUCUGGUAGGUGAGGUGUGAAAUCCCCGGCUCAACCGGGGAACUGCGCUUCGAAACCGCCGGACUUGAGGGAGACAGAGGUGGGCGGAACAGAUGGUGGAGCGGUGAAAUGCGUUGAUAUCAAUCUGGAACACCGGGUGGGCGAAAAGCGGCCCCACCUGGGGUCGUC